AGUGAACGCUGGCGGUAGGCCUAACACAUGCUAGUCGAACGGCAGCACAGUAAGAGCUUGCCUUUAUGGGUGGCGAGUGGCGGACGGGUCAGGUACACAUCGGCAUCUCCUUUUUCGAGGGGGACAACGUAGGGUAAUUUACGCCAACACCGCAUCCGACCUACGGGUGAAAGUAGGUGAUCUUCUCACCUCGCGCGAUUGAAUGAGCCGUUGUCGCAUUAGUUAGUCGGCGGUGUACAGGCCCACCAAGUCGACUAUCCGUAGCUGGUCUGAGAGGAUGAUCACCCCCCCUAGAAGUGAGACACGGUCCAGACUCCUACGGGAGCCAGCAGUCGCGAAUAUUCGACAAUGUGCAGAAGCCUGAUCCAGCCAUACCGCGUGAGUCAAGAGGGCCUUCGGGUUGUAGAGCCCUUUUGUUGGGAAAGAAAAGCAGCAGGUUAAUACACCGCUGUUCUGGCGUUACUCAACAAAUAAGCACCGGCUAACUUCGUG
rnacentral:rRNA from 1 species